CGCGGCCUAUCAGCUUGUUGGUGAGGUAAAAGCUCACCAAGGCUUUGACGGGUAGCUGGUCUGAGAGGAUGGUCAGCCACACUGGGACUGAGACACUGCCUAGACUCCUACGGGAGGCUGCAGUCGAGAAUAUUUCGCAAUGGGGGAAACCCUGACGAUGCGACGCCGCGUGCAGGAUGAAGGUUUUCGGAUUGUAGACUGCUGUCAGGUUGGAAGAAUGCUUUUAUAUUAAUACCAUGAAAGUUUGACGGUACUUCCAGAGGAAGCCCCGGCUAACUCCGUGCCAGCAGCCGCGGUAAUACGGAGGGGGCAAGCGUUGCUCGGAUUUAUUGGGCGUAAAGGGUGUGUAGGCGUCUCUUCAAGUCAGAUGUGAAAGCCCACGGCUCAACCGUGGAAUUGCAUUUGAAACUGUUGAGAUUGAGCUUAGGAGAGGUAAGCGGAAUUCCCGGUGUAAGGGUGAAAUCUGUAGAUAUCGGGAGGAACACCAGUGGCGAAGGCGGCUUACUGGCCUAAAGCUGACGCUGAAACACGAAAGCUAGGGGAGCGAACAGGAUUAGGUACCCUGGUAGUCCUAGCCGUAAACGAUGAGUACUAGGUAUUGGCCCGCAAGGGUUAGUGCCGCAGCUAACGCUUUAAGUACCCCGCCUGGGGAGUACGG
rnacentral:rRNA from 1 species